CACAGGUCCAACAUGAUGUCAUAUGGUAUGGAGCAUCCCUGUGGUCAGUUUGGGUCAUCUGUCCUGGUUUUGUUCUCUCACAACUCCCUGUGCACUCCCCGCCUGCCUUGAUGGUGAGACAGUACAAGACGCUAAGAAAACUGAAAUGUCCUCAGCUCUUUGCAGCACUGCUCAGCAACAACUAAAACAUCAAUGUUACAUCAACAUCAUUUUUCACCUAAAGCCAAAACAUAGGAUAAUACCGACCACUAUGAAGAAAAUCAACUAAUUCCCAGAUGAAAUAAGGACAUUUUUCAUGGUAAUUCCAGCGAUGAAAAGCAGAACAUCACUACAGUUUACCUACUAUGAUGGAGAAUAUUUUGGAAGCUAUCUGUUUGGUCAAGGAAAAGUGACACAGUAUUCUAAGGAAGCACUGAUGUGUUAUCUACUAAUAGCCUGCUUCUCAGAAAAUAAAACAGGGAGCUGGAAGUGCACAAGGAAAAAUGUAAGUUCAAAAACUGAACAAAUAAUAAAAUGAGCACUAAGAUAAGAUACAAAUCAUUUCAUUUUCUCAUUAUUAUAUGUCGUUUAUACAAAAAAUCUUACAAAGAUUCCCACUUGAACUCUUCUUUACAGAGACUGAGGUUGAUGUUUUCAAAUGUUUCUAGAAGAGCAGAAUCUUCCAUUUGUUGCUUUUACCAAAUCCUUAGAUUAAAAAAAUAAUAAUAAUUACUACUGACGUUUUUAUGUGUCACUAUGGAAAGUUUUGAUACAAAAUAUAAAAUUUUAGUUUAUUUAUACUGUUUUAAACAGAAUUCUGAGGUGUAUAGGUGAUUCUGCCCCUCAGCUCUGCUCUUGUGAGACACCACCUGGAGUACUGCACGCUGUUCUGGGGCCCCCAACACAAGAAGGACGUGGAGCUGCUGGAGCAGGUCCAGAGGAGGGCCAAGAAGAUGAUCGGAGAACUGGAGCACCUCCCCUACAGGGACAAGCUGAGGGAGCUGGAGCUUUUCACCCUGGAGAAGAGAAGGCCUCAGGGGAACCGUAUAGCAGCCUUCCAGUACCUGAAGGGGGCCUACAAGAGAGCAACAGCUGAACUCAAACAACCCUUCUAUUCAAGUCUGGAACACAGCCAGUGUCAGUAUCUUAAAAGUGGAAAAAGAAGAGAUAUGGAUCUAUUCGAGUGCAUUCAGAGGAGGACCACAAAAAUGAUCCAAGGAAUGGAACACCUCCCCUAUGAGGAUGGACUGGAAGAGCUGGGGCUGUUCAGCCUGGAGAGGAGAAGGCUCCAGGGAGACCUGAGAGCGACUUUUCAGUAUAUAAAAGAGGGCUGUGAGAAAGAAGGGGGUGGACUCUUUAGCAGGGUCUGUGGUGACAGGAUGAGGGAAAAUGAUUUCAAACUAGAAGAGAUGAGAUUUAGACUUUAUAUAAAGGAAAAGUUUUUUACAGUAAGGCUAGUGAGAAUACUGGAAUAUGUUGUCCAGAAAGACAGUGAAUGCUCCAUCCCUGGCAACACUCAAGGUCAGGCUGGAUGGGGCUCUGAGCUCUGGAUCGUGCUGAAGGUGACCCUGUUCAUUGACGGGGAGUUGGACUAGAUGACCUUUAAAGGUCCCUUCCAACUCUAAGGAUUGUACGAUUCUGUGAUUCUAUCAAUGUAAAUGGCAAAAAUAACCUCUUCAAAACUUUUUUUUUUUUUUUCAGAAAAGAAAAGGAAAGGAGAGGAAAGGAGAGGAGAGGAGAG
rnacentral:lncRNA from 1 species